AGUGAACGCUGGCGGUAGGCCUAACACAUGCAAGUCGAACGGCAGCACAGUAAGAGCUUGCUCUUACGGGUGGCGAGUGGCGGACGGGUGAGGAAUACAUCGGAAUCUACUUUUUCGUGGGGGAUAACGUAGGGAAACUUACGCUAAUACCGCAUACGACCUACGGGUGAAAGCAGGGGAUCUUCGGACCUUGCGCGAUUGAAUGAGCCGAUGUCGGAUUAGCUAGUUGGCGGGGUAAAGGCCCACCAAGGCGACGAUCCGUAGCUGGCCUGAGAGGAUGAUCAGCCACACUGGAACUGAGACACGGUCCAGACUCCUACGGGAGGCAGCAGUGGGGAAUAUUGGACAAUGGGCGCAAGCCUGAUCCAGCCAUACCGCGUGGGUGAAGAAGGCCUUCGGGUUGUAAAGCCCUUUUGUUGGGAAAGAAAAGCAGCAGGUUAAUACCCCGCUGUUCGGACGGUACCCAAAGAAUAAGCACCGGCUAACUGCGU
rnacentral:rRNA from 1 species